GCGCCUCCCGUCGACCGUCCAUGGAGUAAGAAAGAUAGUCGUGUUGCUUCGUACUCUUCUCUUCCGUCUUUUACUCACCUACGUGGAAAUCGCGCGUACUUCUCUCCAACGAACACCGGUAUGUUACGUAGUUACGCAGUGUAUAGUAUACAUACGCGAACGUCCAAUGCAAUAGAGUAAUGCGUGGAAAGGGAUGCUACACGCAACUUGUUUCUAUCUUCUCGCCGUUUGUCCGAUCGAAAGUGUUUUGUGUUCGAACUCGCGUGUGUUUCGUGCUCCCUCAUCUAUAAGGGCUUCGUAGCGUCCGAGACAUCUUAUACCUCGACAUCGAUGGCCAUCCUCGCCUGUACGAUGAAAUCUUAUUCUUAUUGGGACGAUCACCCUGGUCUACGAAUGCUUGUAAAAGCGGACUAGAGAAUUCGAACCAUCUGCGCCUCGGAUGAACGAUAUUUCGAGUAAUUAAGACUCCAGUAUCAGUCUCCAAUUACGCAUUCGUCUCGAUCCCGGUAAAUGUAUUCGGUGCAGAUCCGGUAGAUAUGAAAAUUCGCGGUUUACAUCGACAACACAACUCGCAUUUAAUCACCGUUUCGAAAACGAUGUCACAAUGUCGAUGGUGUUUUUCUCCGCAACGACGAAACGCGGUCACCAGAGCUACCAGUACCAUAAUCCGGAAAAACGACUACCGCUGCGAGGCAGUAGAAACUAGUAGAAACGCCAGACCUAUAUUCAGAAAAGUAGUCGAAUUGUCUCGGUGGCCGCAAAGCCACGGGAAAGAAAACGACAGCGAUGAGUUGGCUGCAAGAGGGUUGCUGGGCGGAGUGGCUGCAAGAGGGCCAAUAAGGAAAAUGCCUGGUCGAAUGGCGGAGCAUCGUGCUCUGCUACACGGUCCAUAUAAGCGUCCGUCCCGGGAGAAGCCGGUCGCGGUACAUCAGAUAAGAAAACCUGGUCUCGGAAUAGAACCCUAUUAUGUUUGCUAUAAGUGGCCGUGGCCAAGGCUACGAGGAGAUGCGAGAGCGGGUCCUGCAGGCGGACCAACAGGGAGAUAAGAAAAAUGCCUGGGCCGGCCCUCGUCGUAACCGCAGAAGUUGUAAUUAUACAGUGAUAUUACUACCGAAAAGAAUGAGGGACGACGGAAGCUGGUAUACGUGGAUGUGGUGUUCCCGGAGACCGCCGGCAUUUUACCCUGAAUCUGGAUGAAGAUACGUCGUCGUCAGAUAACAGCCGCCACGAGAACGAGUAUUUAUUGUUGGCCCCAGAAGCCGGUUAAAGGAUGGAACGAAAGAAUUCCCUGAUGAACGGUGGAACGAAAUCGUAAUUGGAUGAAACUCCUUUUGUAGCGGCCACUUCCACCCUCCACUCCCCUCUAUCUGGCCAUCAUCACCCCGUCUCUGUCUGCCCCUUUGGAUUCUGGCAAGUAAAUUGCAUUAAUUAAAGCAU